rnacentral:rRNA from 1 species
UACGUAGGGGGCAAGCGUUGUCCGGAUUUAUUGGGCGUAAAGAGCGUGUAGGCGGCCAUUCAGGUCAGCUGUGAAAACUCGAGGCUCAACCUCGAGACGUCGGUUGAAACCGUUUGGCUAGAGUCCGGAAGAGGAGAGUGGAAUUCCCGGUGUAGCGGUGAAAUGCGCAGAUAUCGGGAAGAACACCCGUGGCGAAGGCGGCGAUCUGGGAAGAUACUGACGCUGAGGUGCGAAAGCGUGGGGAGCAAACAGG